rnacentral:lncRNA from 1 species
UGUCGUAAAAACACCAAAAGUAAGCCAUGAGACUUAGAUUGAUUGAUUUUUAUAUUUUAUACUGUAGUACAUAGUCUAUGUAAAACAAUAAUAGCUGUGGCAAGUAAAGGAGGCCAGACUUUAAAGGAGGCUGUCCAGAGAAUGUCCUUUGCGUUAUUCACUAAUAACCUCUGCUGUAAACUUAACUGGUCUGGUAUUAUCAUAAAUGACAAUGAAAGUAACUUUGUAAAACAAAGACUUACACUUGCUUAAAAGAGCUGUAAAAAGAAAUCCUGCAACAACUUCAGCAACUGAAUCAGAUUUUCAAUAUGAGGUUGUGCGUUUUUUGCGUGGUGCAUCAGACGACCAAAAAAACAAACAAGCCAAGAAAAAAGUGAUGCCUACAUCAAGUUUUUCAAUGCCAUUAAAUAAUUUAGUUCAGAAGAUGAAUAACAUUGCUAAAUAAAAUAAGCAUCUUUAUUUACAUAUUUGUUAUUUUUAUUUUACAAUAUUUUAUAUAUUUUUAAACUCAAUAGAGUAAAGUUCUUGUGUAAUGAGUAUUACUGUUUCUGUGUUUUUCAUAUUCAUUCCCUUUUACAGUAACCUUUUGUAUAUGAGAUUGUAGAUGAGAAUUUAAAUCGUGAUAUUGAAUUUUACCAGAGAAUAAAGAAACCGUUUACCUCAACCAGAGUUAUAUUUCAUAGAAUUAUGUUGACCAUGAUCCAAAUAUUGCCAUGGGUAUAAGAUAGAUGUUUGAUUUGCAAACUGGAUUGAAAUCAUAUUUUCUUUAAACAUAUUUAUUUGCUUUUUAUAUACUUACAAAUAAUUUAUUAGAAAAAAAUUAUAUACUUAUUUACUAAAC